rnacentral:rRNA from 1 species
UACAGGUUCUAAAUCUCUGGGACCAAGUAACCCUUGUGUAUGCCUCCCAAUGGUGGCGCAUUUUCCAUUCUCUCGUGUUCGAGCCAUGACCAAUGGUGCUGAUGGUCUCUGUAAAUGCCUUCACGGGCAGUCACUGGUCUCCAAGCAUGCCUAUUCUACCCUUCGGUAGGUAGGUUGAUUGGUGUCAGUGGUAAGCAGGCGACCUGAACCUAUUGGGAUAUACAAAUCUCUGCUUACAGGGUGAUGUUGACAGAAUGCCUUUUGCCUGGCGCCUGACGUUUCAUCAUAUCUGGGAAUCCUUUCUUUACUAUGUACUGAAAGAUCUCGGUAUCUGGGACCUUCUCAGGUGUCUGUGCAGUUGAGGUAUCUGUUGAACUAGUAUGAUCUAUGGCCAGUAGGUCGGUCAUCCACCCGACCCGUCUUGAACACGGACCAAGGAGUCUAACAUGAUGCGCAAGUCGAUCAGUCUUGAUUACGCUUGAUAGGCGUAAUGAAAGUAAUACUUGUUGCUAUCCUUGUGGUAGUGAUAGUAUGACCUGUACUCAGGCCUUGCUGCUUACGGCAGUAGGUUGCUGGCAGGAGCAAUACUGGCCCGUCUAUACUGCUUUUGUCAGUUUGGCGGAGUCUGAGCGCAUACGUUGGUACCCGAAAGAUGGUGAACUAUGCCU